rnacentral:snRNA from 1 species
GUGCUCGCUUCGGCAGCACAUAUACUAAAAUUGGAAUGAUACACAGAAGAUUAGCAUGGCCCCUGCGUAAGGAUGACACGCAAAUUCAUGAAGCGUUCCAUAUUUUU